AUUCAUGAUACUCGUAGUAAUUAUUGUCUUUAAAGAAAUAAAUUUUUCCAUUAAUAUAUCUAAAGGCUUUAUCAACAUUAGAAGGAAUACUAGAAAACAAUUCAGCUAUCAUACCAUGUUUCUUAGGUCUAAGCAGACAUUCAUCAAAUUGUAUAAACAUUGUGUUGCCAUAAAAUAUAUAAGUUUGACCAGAAUAAGUACUAAAUAUUGCAUUAAUUUUCUUUCCACUAGGAACACCCAAACUUGUGAUAGAUCUUCCAUUAUAACCGUUUUUAACAACGAAAUUAGGAAAAUCAAUAAUAUAAUAUAAGUUGUUUGUUGUUAACAAAAUAGUUCCAUCUGGUCUCUGAUAAAUUUGUGAUAUUUCUUGAAAAUUAUCUGGUAAAAAAGUUAAAUAAUCUGUAAUUAAUUUUGGUUUAUUAUCAUAGCUCAUGUCUUUUAAAUUAACAAUCCAGACAUAUUUCUUGUAGAAAAUAUAUAAUUUAUGAUUUGCUAUUAAAAAUGUGUUAAAUUGGUAUGGUUUAAUAAAAUGUGCAAUUUUACCACCAAAAGGUUUGUAUCACCCCGUUUUACCUGUUAAGAAUAAAACCAAAUCUGGUGAUGAAAAACUAACAUUUCCAUUAUGUCAAUUGUGUGCCAAAUUAAAUAAUCAAAAAGAUAAAUGUUCUCAUACAGAAUCUCAAAGAAUUAUCAGAGGAACCUGGUGUACCAACGAAGUAAAAGAAGCCAUUGAAAAGGGGUACAAAAUAAUAACUAUUGAUGAGGUUUGGCAUUUUUACAAAAAAUCAUCAAAUUUAUUUAAAGGAUAUGUGAAAGAGUUUAUGAAAAUUAAAUUAGAAACAAGCCCUUGGCAGGAUGAUUUUGAAUCAGAAGAAGAAUAUAGAAAAGCCGUAAAAGAAAUUCUAGGUAUCGAAUUGGGUAAAAUAGAAAAUAAUCCUGGAAAGAGAGCUGUUGCGAAAAUAUGCUUAAAUUCCUUAUGGGGUAAAUUUGGGCAAAGACAAAAUAUGGGUGCAACAGAAUAUGUUACGGAUGUUAAAAGGUUUUAUGAAAUUUUAUUUGACGACAAACUUGAUAACAUACGCAUAAACGAUAUAAAUGAAAAUAUGUUACAAAUUGAUUAUAAGUUAAAAGAUUGCUAUAUAGAAAAUGAUUUCAAUACCAAUAUAUUUAUAGCUGCUUUUACAACUGCAAAUGCUAGACUAAGAUUGUACGAAAUGUUAGAUAAAUUAGGAAAAAGCGUAGCAUAUUAUGAUACAGAUAGUAUUGUAUAUAUAGAUGAUGGAAAAAACACUGUUAAAACAGGCUGUCUAUUGGGGGAUUGGACAGACGAAUUAGGUAAAGGCGUAUGGAUAAUAGAAUGGAUAUCAACAGGCCCAAAGAGUUAUUGUUAUAAAACCAACACAGGUAAAGUUGUUUGUAAAAUAAAAGGAUUUACAUUAAACUAUGAAACGUCCGAACAGAUUAAUUCCGAUAGUAUAAAUAAUAUUUUAGAAAAGUCCAUCAGAGCCGGUCCAGAGUCGAAGACGAACAAAGACUUGGAUAUUAAUCCUUAUAUUAUUUUCUCCCUAAAUGAACCUAUUUUGAAUUUACCGUUUAACAAAUUUUAAUUUUUAAAUGCAUUCAAUAUCAUCAAUGUUGAACAAGUGAACUGAAUGAAAAAAAUUGAAAAAAACUCGAAAAAAGUUAUUGGACUCUCCUUCAGCAACGCCACUGGGCCACUGCCGUCUUACUAUUUAGGGAUUUUUGUACGGUAAAGUUUUUUUGUCGCGAGAUUUUCUCUCAUGCAGAUUGACCAGAUUGGGCGAUUUCAGCAAUCAAUUAGGCGUCCAAAAUAAUUAGUUGGCGAUUGGCGAUUUUUUUGGCGGUUUUCCCAUUUUCCCCUCAAUCAAUUUUGUCCAUCGGCUCGGCAUUGGAGGCAUUGGUAUUAAAAUUUAAAAUUUGGCGCUGUUGGCAGCCUUGUUUCACCAAGCGCCAACCGUCAAGGGUGUCAAGGCGAAACUUCUUUGGAGGGCGGGGCACGGGGGGGUGUCGCUUGUAUAGAGAAAGAGGAAACAUGUUUUAAAUUUCGCGCUGUGUGUUCACCCUGGACUGUCAACAAUGUCAACCCAUAUAAGGCUUAAAGCACAAUUAGCAUGCGCAGUUUUGUAAAACGGUUGACAACAUUGACGGUUUAUUUAAAAUAAUGUUUUUGUGUGUCAUGUGUGGUCGUGAGACUGGCUUUGGUCACAGAUCAGCAUGUUGUCGUUUAGGUUGGUUCUUGUGUGAAAAUCGCGUUUGCCUCAUCACGGAACGCAAUUAUUCAAGAAGUCAGAGUGUAUAUGCCUUCAAAUUCCCCCUGUACCUUCGUAAAGUGCACUUUGAAUGUUAUGUGAGACUGGAAGUGUUUUAUAAAACGGAAAAGUAAAGUGCUAGUUUUGUGGACUGUUAAAAUUAAGUUGUGCAUGAGAAAAUUACACAAUAUGUUUUACUUUAGAAUGUAUUUUGCACUACUAUAAUUAAUAAAACCGUUUUUUUUAAAUAGUGUAAAUUUGUUAGUCCCGUGUUUAGUGAUAAUAAUUUUACAGGUUGUAUAUACAAACUUUGGGUAUAUUUAUUCAAUUUUUGUAUAAAACCAGUAAUGCAAACUAAUAAGGGUACAUACAUAAAAUACGCAAUGUUCAAAUUGCGCGCGGUUUUUCAAUUUCCAAUAUGGUGGAUUUAGUUUCUCACCCGACCGCACGUAGCGCUAUCAGCAUUAAUUUGUUUCCUCAAAAUAACACGGCGCUGUCACUUCUUAACCUUUAUAUUCUUUGACUGUGAGCGUCCGGCGUUUUGGGUUUUGUGCUGUGGUUUUGUGUGACUGUGUUGAACGCAGCUAUCUAAUCGCUAAAAAUUUUGUCUAUAACAAAAAAUGGAAGAUAAGACAUAUGGGAUAAAAACAUAUCUCGUUGAGGAAUUUAAACAGUUUCAAAUUAGUAGAAAGAAAGCAGCGAUGGCGAUAGCUUUUGUAGGCAACUGUACAUUGUUAAUAAGUGCCCUGCCUAUGCGAACAAGUGUUGUGGCCGCCAAUGGCGUAAUAUCAAUCAAUCCUUUCCCCUUAUUUGAAGGGGGGCUUAUGGGAUUUAGGAUACCUCCCCAACGCCUCGAAUCUAGCGGAUUCAACUGGGUGGUAAUUGCCCUGCAUCCGUCACUAAAGAUUCAGUUAAUAUUCGACUCGGCGGAUCAGAAGCUGGAGUUCCUGGGCAAACUUAAUUUAGCUGAAGAGAGUUCGAGUGGAGAUGAAAGUGCCUCUGCGACCUCUUCAAGCUCCACAUCUGCAACCGUUGACUCUGGAGUUGAAAAUGUACAAUAAUAAAAUAAUACAAUACUGUACAAUAAUAAAAUAAUGUAAAAAAAUGUACAAUAAUAAAAAAAAUUUGUAGUAUGAAAAUGA